UCCCUGGUGGUCCAGUGGUUAAAACUCUGUACUUCUAAUGCAGGGAGUUGUGGGUUUGAUCCCUGCUCAGGGAA
rnacentral:tRNA from 1 species